CCUGCUUUCAUUUGGUGCAUAGA
rnacentral:miRNA from 9 species